ensembl:lncRNA novel transcript
AUGCAUUCUGGAAAAUAAUGCAGAGUGGUACAGGCUGAAGCGGAGCGGAGAGGACACUGUUUCAAGAUUCCUGCGCCAGCUCCUUCGUUGUUAUAGAAGUUGGACUAAAUAAAAGGGUAAUCACAAGCGUACAGAUAACAGGCAGGCAGGAAUGUGAAAAUCAGAGAGAAGAGAGAUGUGCACCAGAAGCUGGAGUAAUGUGCUUUGAAGAUGGAGGAAGGGACCAUAAAUCAAGGAAUGCAGACAGCCUGUAGAAGCUGGGAAAGGCAAGGAUGUGGAUUCACUCGAGUCUCUAGAAGAAACGCAACCCCGCCAACACCUUGAUUUGAGGACGUCUGACCUUCAGAAUGAGAAAAUGAUACAUUUGUGUUAAUUCUCCAUGAAAGGGGCCAUCAAAAUGGAACAGUCAUCUCAGCAGAUCUGAAAGGAGUGACUUCAGAUGCUGCCUGCCAGGAAUAAUCAACUACUGCUUUCCAAUUCAUAAACAGUCCAGGACUCAAACCUCUCCCCUAUUCUAUCUCAGUCCAACCUCAGUGACUCAUCUAACAUGGUGCUCCAGCACCCAGAACCACCACCAACAGUUCUAUCAUCCUCCGCUUUGUUGUUCUACUCCCCAGAUUAUCCCAGCUACUUUGGAGAUCUUUGGUGAAUGCCAUCAAGGUUGACAAAUGCAUACUGUUUGUUGCAAUCAAAGCUAUUUUAACACAAUUGGCUAUAGUGGAGAAACGUCCAGAGGAAUAAGGUUGAAGUAUUUAAAAUUUCUCACUUAGUUUUAAGUUGUAACUCACCUCACGGAAACACCAAAAGCUAAAGAGAAAUUUCUUUGCCAAAAUCAAUCUUAUGAAAUAAUGUAUUUUGGUACAUGCUGAGAGAUUACCAGUAAGAACGACAGCAAACCCCAUUAAACAUCUGCACCUACUUAAAGCCACAAGUUUUUGCGCUGGCAUGAAUGUCAUGCAUUCUAAAGUGAUUCUUAUUGUUUAAAUUAAGGGCGGUGGCAUCCAUUUUGUUUACUUGUAGCAGUGUGAUUGCCAUUAAAAGAAUACAUUUGAUUG